UGUGUGUGUGGAGGGGAAUGGAGGGGAGGAAAGUCUACCGAGUUUUAUCUUUUUUUCUCCUUUUUUUUUCGUUUUGCUUGUGUGUGUGUGUGUGUGUGUGUGUGUGUGUGUGUGUGUGUGUGUGUGUGUGUGUGUGUUGCGUGCAUAUAAACACUACACACACUAACUAACGUAACAGACACACGCAAAAGAAACAGUAAAGAGCAAUUAGGAAGAUGAAUAAAUGAAGGAAGGAAGGAGGGAAGGGAGCAUAAUUAAACAGGUGAAUAGGUGAACAGGUGAGAGGUGAAUAACAUGGAACGAAAUGAAUAAGUAAAAUGAUAAGCCGUUGAAAUAAAUGUAAAUGGAAAAUCGAUCACCUUAUAAACGAAUGAAUACAAAAAGAAGAAGAAGAAAAAAGGAGAAAGAAGGAAAGGUAAGGAAAGGCAGGGUAAGGGAGGGAUAAGGGAAGGUUAGGUAUGGUAAGGUAAGGAAAGGCAGGGUAAGGGAGGGAUAAGGGAAGGUUAGGUAUGGUAAGGUAAGGAAAGGCAGGGUAAGGGAGGGAUAAGGGAAGGUUAGGUAUGGUAAGGUAAGGAAAGGCAGGGUAAGGGAGGGAUAAGGGAAGGUUAGGUAUGGUAAGGUAAGGAAAGGCAGGGUAAGGGAGGGAUAAGGGAAGGUUAGGUAUGGUAAGGUAAGGAAAGGCAGGGUAAGGGAGGGAUAAGGGAAGGUUAGGUAUGGUAAGGUAAGGAAAGGCAGGGUAAGGGAGGGAUAAGGGAAGGUUAGUUAUGGUAAGGUAAGGAAAGGGAAGGUUAGGGGAAGGUAAGGUAAAGUAGGGAAAGGGAAAUGUAAGGUAAGGAAGAAUUAAAAAGGAAAACAAGAAGAGGAAAGGAGAAGGAAGGAAAGGGUAAGUAAGGGAGGAUAAGGUAAGGUUAGGGUAAGGUAAGGUAAGGAAAGGGAAAUGUAAGGUAAGGAAGAAUUAAAAAGGAAAAUAAGAAGAGGAAAGGAGAAGGAAGGAAAGGGUAAGUAAGGGAGGAUAAG